rnacentral:rRNA from 1 species
GACGAACGCUGGCGGCGUGCUUAACACAUGCAAGUCGAACGGAAAGGCUCCAGCUUGCUGGAGUACUCGAGUGGCGAACGGGUGAGUAACACGUGGGUAAUCUGCCCUGCACUCUGGGAUAAGCCUGGGAAACUGGGUCUAAUACUGGAUAUGACCUUUCUCCUUAUGGGGUUUGGUGGAAAGUUUUUCGGUGUAGGAUGAGCCCGCGGCCUAUCAGCUUGUUGGUGGGGUGAUGGCCUACCAAGGCGACGACGGGUAGCCGGCCUGAGAGGGUGAUCGGCCACAUUGGGACUGAGAUACGGCCCAGACUCCUACGGGAGGCAGCAGUGGGGAAUAUUGCACAAUGGGCGGAAGCCUGAUGCAGCGACGCCGCGUGAGGGAUGACGGCCUUCGGGUUGUAAACCUCUUUCAGCAGGGGCGAAGCGUAAGUGACGGUACCUGCAGAAGAAGCACCGGCUAACUAUGUG